rnacentral:tRNA from 1 species
GCCAGUGUGGCUCAGUGGCUAGAGCGUCGGCCUGCAGACCAAAGGGUCCCGGGUUCGAUUCCGGUCAAGGGCA